CGGGAGCGGCCGCCGGUCCCCUCACGAUCGGCCGCCAUGUUGGCUGUGGGUCUGGCCGGUCCUGGCCCCGCCGGGUCCCUCGGUUCCUUCGAGCAGGGGGCGAGAGGCGCGUUGAGGCUCCCUCGGAGCCCCCUUGGAGGUACCUCGGUGCCGCAGUAGCGCGUUCUCUCUGUAAGCAGCCGCGCCCGUUACAUUGCCGUUGCCUCCGGAAGCUGAGAGUUUCUACUGAUUUUAUUUUUUUUUCCCAGUGUAAGACUCCGUCGCCCUUUCCCGAGAAGUUUGUCAUUCUUGGAGCUGUGAAGAAUGUCUUGAAGGCACGAACGAAUUUUGGUGUAACAAUGACGCUGCAGUCAGCGAGCCACAGGUGCAGCUCAGAGAUGGGCGAGCCUUUUAGCCGCGAGCAGCAGGAGCAUGUCCUGAUCCCUCUGGUCCCUCGGAGCUCCCGACAGCUCUGCAGCCCCAGCAGUGCUUGGAGCAGGGAGAAGGAUGAUCUCGGUGGAGGGAGCCCAGCUCGGUGUGGUCCUCAUUCCUGCUGUCAUGUGUGAAGAGAGAUGGAAAGAAAUACAUCAGAGGCUCAGAGCUGGGCAUGGAGCAUGGGCAGCAUGUCCAAAGUAAUCCCAUCUGCAGGAGCCGUUCCUUCUUCUGGAGCCCAAAAAGAAGAACAGUUUCCUUCACCAGACUGUGCUGCUCACCCAAGGAACAGAAGAACCCAGUAGCAAGAGCAACAAGACACUAAUGGGCUGGAAAAGCACAACAAGGACCCCCACAGUGACUCUGCUGGGUCUCCAGACAAACAAAUUCACACCCUGCAGAGAACAUGCUGUUGGCUCCAGGGCUAAACCAGCCCAUUCUCAGAGGACUUCUGCUGUCCUAAACCCAUGUCCUUCUGCUUGGACACUCCUCUCCUCCCUAGAGAGUUCUUGGUCAGAAAAAUAUUUCCAUCUGUCAUCGGGAGGUUGCCUGAAUUGUUGGCAACUUAAUAAAUGCAAGAAAGAGUCAGCUCA